rnacentral:sRNA from 1 species
UAUAUACUAGGAGGACGGUCUGUACAAACUUGCA